UCGAGGAUCUUCGGCAAUGGGCGCAAGCCUGACCGAGCGACGCCGCGUGCGCGAUGAAGGCCUUCGGGUUGUAAAGCGCUGUCGAGGGGGAGGAAGCUCCGCAAGGAGUUGACCUAUCCCUGGAGGAAGCACGGGCUAAGUUCGUGCCAGCAGCCGCGGUAAGACGAACCGUGCGAACGUUGUUCGGAUUCACUGGGCUUAAAGGGCGCGUAGGCGGGUCAGCAAGUCCGGGGUGAAAGCUUUCGGCUCAACCGGAAAAGGGCCUUGGAUACUGCUGGUCUGGAGGAAGGUAGGGGCGUGUGGAACUUCCGGUGGAGCGGUGAAAUGCGUAGAUAUCGGAAGGAACGCCGGUGGCGAAAGCGACACGCUGGACCUUUUCUGACGCUGAGGCGCGAAAGCCAGGGGAGCAAACGGGAUUAGAUACCCCCGUAGUCC
rnacentral:rRNA from 1 species